UCAAUAUAAUUUCAGCUUAGACUACAAAUUGCAAACUGUAUCAUAAAAUUCUACCAUAAACUUUAGAGAAGCAUGGUUGUUUAGAUAACUGACAAUUAACCAAAAAAUAGUUUUCUGAAGAUUUUUCAUACGGAUUAAAUUCUAUACACCGCAGUCGUAACCCCAAAAUAAUGCAGACAACCAUUUAAAAUGUGACACACAUGCAAUUGUGGGAAAAAAGAAAUAUCUCUUCUCAGAUCUCUUUCCCUCUGCCCUCCCCGUCUGGCAUCUACUACUACCACCACCACCAUCACAUGUCUGACACCAAUUCUAAAGGUGUUGUGGUUUUGUACGGUGAUUGGUGUUGGUUAUGGUGAUUUUUGUCUAGAGAGAGAAAAGAGGAGUGCUUGGUUGCCGCUGGCUGCUGCAGCUAGGGGACGGAGGUUGGUGGAGGUGGCUGUCAGGAUGAGACGACUUGAAGAAUUGGCGCGGUCACACAAGCCUAGUGUAUGGAAAAUAGUAAAAAGUGACCGCACGCCUAGUGUAUGAAAAAUGGUGAAAAGUUUUGACCGAAAAACCAAUUUUACUGUGAUGUGGCAGAUCUUUAAUUAUUGGCAACACAGAACAGCAUCGUAUAAUUGACCCUCAUUUUCAUGACAUUACCUAAAACACAAACACAUGCCCGACAACAUAUUCCACCACGUGUCAGGUACGAUGUUGAAUCGUAAGUCUACCGUGACUGAUGGUUGUACCGAAAAUAUUAUCGAUCGCACCAAAACGACGUCGUUUUGGUGAUAAAUACAAAACGACUCGCCAACUAAAUAAAAUAACAGUGUUUUUUUAGUUGAACGACGUCGUUUUGGUGUUUCAUCACCAAAAUGACAUCGUUUUAGUGCAAUCGAUAAUAUUUUCGGUAUAACCAUCGGUCAUUGUAGACUUAUCCAUGUUGAGAUAGAAGGCGGGCUCCAUGCGAACAAUGGGGUACCACGACCACGUGGGUGUUUGUGUCCGGAUUUGUAGGAUUGCUAAUGCAUGAUAGACUCCCCUGGACCAUGUUGAAGUUAUUUUUUGGGAAUACAUAUAAUAUUUAUUAACUUUCCAAAUUUAUUCCUAUAAUUAUUAGGUUUGGCAUUUAUUUGGGUUAGAUUGUUAUUUAAAUUUAUAAUAUAAGUUAUAAAUAUUUCAAACUAUCUCCCAUUAUCUACAGAUAGAAUCUAGUCGAGUUAAUCUAAUGAUUGAAAUUUCAUGUGAAACUAUUUUUUUAAAAAAAAUACAAUUUCCUUCUUUUCAAAAGUGUGGAGCUCACAUAAAUUGUGAUCAAUUGGCUAAAAACCUUUAAAAGUGGAGCCCACACCCCCAAAAAAUAAAGCACCCUUUCUUUCUUCUCCAAAACUAGCAACAUUUUUAAAAUUAUUAUACUUUCUAUUUUUUUUCUAUUUUGUAGCAAUAUAUCUUUUUGUAUAUACAAGCAAUGUAUCUCUUAUCUGAAGUUUAUAUCUUAUCUAUUUUUUAGGUUGUAAUACUCUAACGAAUUCGCCAAAUAUGUGAUUUUUUUUGUAUAUUUCUAGUGGGCACGGUCAAUUACUAGUAAUAUAUAACAUAAAAGAUAAGAAGGAAAGUUGUGUAUUUUAUUUUUGACUUUUUAAUUUGAAUAUAUAUUUUGAGAUAUUGUAAAAUAAAAUAAUAAUGCUUCAUUAUGGAACGGAGAAAGUUGUUUUAUUGAAACAUCAAGUUCUCAAAAAAACUCUCAUCAAAUGAACGGAGCGUGAUAUUUGACUUUAUGGCCACUCCCUCGACUUAUUUUGAUUUCUAUUGGUUCUGCUUAUUUUUCAGCCCUCCGUAUGUGAUCAAUCACGAGGAAAAUCAAAUUAAUCUGAUAAUUUUAUAUAUAUAUAUAUAUAUUUUUUAAAAUAAUAGAAUACUAGAAGACGAACAUGAAUAGGGAAUAUGACGCAAAUAAAAAAGUGAAAUCAACUUGGUCAUUUUUUUUUGUUUUUUUUUUUGUUUUUUAUAAAUAAUCUUGAUGAGAGGUUAUUAUAAGCCACAAUAACUGAUAAUUGGCCUUGUUUAAGAUUUUUUUUGUUUGUAUAGCUGUUUUAAUUUUUGAAUUUUUUAUGGGAAGUGAUUUCUACCCUCCACAAUUUUAUUUCUGCACUUCUACUUUGGAGUGCAGAAAUCAAAUUGUGGAGUGCGAAAAUCAAUUAUCUUUUUUUAUUUAAUCAAAAAUUUAUACUUUUUUAGUUCAUCUAAACGAAAUGAGUUAAAAAUUCUCACCUCUUUUGAAAAACAAAUUCAUUAAAAACAAAAAUAAAUUAUUUUUAUUUAAAAAAAUUAUGUAAAUAUAGUUUAUUUUGAUAUUUAUGAACUUUUAUCCAAAUUAUGUGAAUAUUUUUAUAUUUUUGGACUCAUAUCGUCAAUAGGGACUGAAAAAUUACAAAUUUUUAAUCAAAUGACAAAAAAAUUCAAUAAAUACAAAAAAAUUAAAAAUUAAAACAACUGUGGAAUCAGGAAAAAAAUUAUC
rnacentral:lncRNA from 1 species